rnacentral:rRNA from 1 species
CACGUAGGGGGCAAGCGUUGUCCGGAUUUAUUGGGCGUAAAGAGCUCGUAGGCGGUUUGUCGCGUCUGCUGUGAAAACUCGGGGCUUAACUCCGGGCCUGCAGUGGGUACGGGCAGACUAGAGUGCGGUAGGGGAGACUGGAAUUCCUGGUGUAGCGGUGAAAUGCGCAGAUAUCAGGAGGAACAUCGGUGGCGAAGGCGGGUCUCUGGGCCGUAACUGACGCUGAGGAGCGAAAGCGUGGGGAGCGAACAGG